UACAGAGGGGGCAAGCGUUGUUCGGAAUUACUGGGCGUAAAGGGCGCGUAGGCGGCCCGCUAAGUCGAACGUGAAAUCCCCGAGCUCAACUCGGGAACUGCGUCCGAUACUGGUGGGCUUGAAUCCGGGAGAGGGAUGCGGAAUUCCAGGUGUAGCGGUGAAAUUCGUAGAUAUUCGCAAGAACACCAGUGGCGAAGGCGGCUCACUGGCCCGAUACUGACGCUGAGGUGCGAAAGCGUGGGGAGCAAACAGG
rnacentral:rRNA from 1 species